rnacentral:lncRNA from 1 species
GGGGAUUCACUCCAUCAGAUCCGUCCAAAGUUGCGUGAGUCAUUACUUGCUCAAACUCUCCGUCUCCAGAACGGCCAACGGGUAGCAACUUUGGAACGCCAUUCAAGGCGAUCUCGCAAUGAGCGAACCCAGAGGGGUUCACAGCUCCAAGGUACGUGUUCAAGUCGAGGUCUGGGUCUCGACUGGCAUUCAAAUCCACGGGAGGUGGCGGAGUUCUUUCGGCACGUCGGCCCGCUCGCCUUCGUGAAUUACGGGCACCACGGUCCACAAACAGAGUCUCCUCGAUAUUGACGUUGAGAGGAGGCGGGACCCCUUCAUUUUCCUCGGGCACAUGUACUUUGCCCUUCCCAGUGGUGCGUCUUCUCUUUCUUUUCAGAGAAGGACCUUGGUUAGGGCUCAGUCCCGAUACGAUUCGUCCUCCUGCGCUCACGACCAAUGGUGCAGGGCGGUGCGCAGAAGAAUCAUCAACAGAUAUGUGAGUUGCCGACUCCAGCAAGCGAGUCGCCGAUCCCGUAAGAGGAAUCGGUGAGGCUUGGCUGGCAGUCGCCGACCCAGUGGCAGCUGAAGCCUGCCCCUUUCGCCUGAAGCAUCUCCCUCUGACAGGGCCUUCAUGAGUCGC